UACGGAGGGUGCAAACGUUGCUCUGAAUCAUUGGGCGUAAAGCGCACGUAGGCGGCCCAGCAAGUCGGGUGUGAAAGCCCUCGGCUUAACCGAGGAAGUGCAUUCGAAACUACUGAGCUUGAAUACUGGAGAGGAUCGCGGAAUUCCCGGUGUAGAGGUGAAAUUCGUAGAUAUCGGGAGGAACACCAGUGGCGAAGGCGGCGAUCUGGACAGAUAUUGACGCUGAGGUGCGAAAGCGUGGGGAGCAAACAGG
rnacentral:rRNA from 1 species